rnacentral:rRNA from 1 species
UCAAGAGUACGUGAAACCGCAUAGAGCCAAACGGGUGGAUCCGCAGAGUCGACCCGGGGAAUUCAGCCCGGCCGCCCCACGGAAAGUCUGCAAAGUUCGGAUCCGCAAGGACCGGGCCAGCGGACGUCCGCGUGGCAGGGUGCACUUUCUCCGCGGUCGAGUGCUACGACCGGUUUCGCGGCGGUCAGAAGCCCGGCGGAAAGGUAGCGCCGCCCUUCGGGGUGUCGUGUUAUAGGCCGCCGCGGUGGACUCGCCGCGAGACCGAGGACGCUUGCCGCGCCGAGCGGUCCCGGGCCGUCUUGGGAGGUUCGACCUCGGCUGCACUGCUCCGCAGAGCACCGUAACCGCCGCCCUAGCACGGGUCCGGAGACCGCCGGCGCCUCGGGUCAGUAGCGAAUCGGUCGGUCCUCCACCCGACCCGUCUUGAAACACGGACCAAGGAGU